rnacentral:rRNA from 1 species
UACGAAGGGGGCUAGCGUUGCUCGGAAUCACUGGGCGUAAAGGGUGCGUAGGCGGGUCUUUAAGUCAGGGGGGAAAUCCUGGAGCUCAACUCCAGAACUGCCUUUGAUACUGAAGAUCUUGAGUCCGGGGGAGGUGAGUGGAACUGCGAGUGUAGAGGUGAAAUUCGUAGAUAUUCGCAAGAACACCAGUGGCGAAGGCGGCUCACUGGCCCGGUACUGACGCUGAGGCACGAAAGCGUGGGGAGCAAACAGG